CCUACGGGAGGCAGCAGUGGGGAAUAUUGCACAAUGGGGGGAACCCUGAUGCAGCAACGCCGCGUGAAGGAAGAAGGCUUUCGGGUUGUAAACUUCUAUCAAUAGGGACGAAAAGAAUGACGGUAGCGAAAUAAGAAGCCCCGGCUAACAACGUGCCAGCAGCCGCGGUAAUACGUAGGGGGCAAGCGUUAGCCGGAAUUACUGGGUGUAAAGGGAGCGUCGGCGGCAUGGGAAGCCAGAGGGGAACGCCCGCGGCUUAACCGCGCGGAUUGCAUUUGGAACUAUCAAGCUAGAGUACAGGAGAGGAAAGCGGAAUUCCUAGUGUAGCGGUGAAAUGCGUAGAUAUUAGGCAGAACACCAGUGGCGAAGGCGGCUUUCUGGACUGCAUCUGACGCUGAGGCUCGAAAGCGUGGGGAGCAAACAGGAUUAGAUACCCUGGUAGUC
rnacentral:rRNA from 1 species